rnacentral:rRNA from 1 species
UACGUAGGGGGCAAGCGUUGUCCGGAAUUAUUGGGCGUAAAGAGCGUGUAGGCGGUCCGGUAAGUCAGCUGUGAAAGUCAAGGGCUCAACCCUUGAAUGCCGGUUGAUACUGUCGGGCUAGAGUCCGGAAGAGGCGAGUGGAAUUCCCGGUGUAGCGGUGAAAUGUGUAGAGAUCGGGAGGAACACCGGUGGCGAAGGCGGGUCUCUGGGCAUCUCCUGACGCUGAGGCGCGAAAGCGUGGGGAGCAAACGGG